rnacentral:snoRNA from 1 species
UAAGUAAUUCAUUCAAUUAAAAAAUUCUAACAACUGGUGCUGAGAGAAAACCCUUGAUUACAUCUUUGCCCUGAUACUGUACCAGUGGCAUCUGUCUCUCAAGGGAACAGAA